rnacentral:rRNA from 1 species
UUGGUACUAGAUAUGUUUUGUGUAGGAUAGGUGGGAGGCUUUGAAACGGGCACGCUAGUGUUCGUGGAGCCGCCCUUGAAAUACCACCCUGGACCUAUUUGGUAUCUAACACCGACCCGUGAAUCCGGGCGGUGGACAGUUUCAGUUGGGCAGUUUGACUGGGGCGGUCUCCUCCUAAAGAGUAACGGAGGAGCUCAAAGGUACCCUCAGCCUGGUUGGCAAUCAGGCGUAGAGCGCAAAGGUAGAAGGGUGCUUGACUGCAAGACCUAUAAGUCGAGCAGAGACGAAAGUCGGCCAUAGUGAUCCGGUGGUCCCGAGUGGAAGGGCCAUCGCUCAACGGA